UAAGUGUAGGGCUACAACCCACAGAGGGGAUGGAAGAGAGGUGCUGGGUUGGGACUCCCCAGGAGGGGUUUUUGAGUCAAUUUUGGAGAUGGGGAUGCCCAAGAAGCGUCUCCUAAGGCCACCUAAAGGGAAAGCGUCUGUUUUGAUCUCAGUGCUGAGGUGCUCAGGGCAGAGCAGUGUUGGCGUGUGUCCUGUCACUUGUCUCCGGUGCACUCUAUGUUCUUUGGGUCUCUCAGUCCUUUCUUCUCCUCAAAAGCUUUCUGUCCCUGUCCUGUGUCACAGGUGUCUGCACAUAUUUUUCCUGGAGCUGCUCUGUCCUGUUGCAUAGCCUGUAAUAGCACAAGUCCUGGGGACUUGAAAUUUGUAAUGCCCGGUGUAGUUGGGCUCUAAAUUGUAUCAGGAGGUUGCCAUAACAUGUUUGGUGAUGCUAAGUUGUCCUGCAGCUGUUUGACAUUAGUCCUAAUUUCCUUUCAGAUGCAGGCAGUUCAAAUCGGUGGCAGAGGGCCCCAGUCCUGGGGGAGGGUGUUUCCAUGAGCAGGUCAGUCAUUGUUUGCAUUUGCAGGGGGAGCCUAAAUGGUGACCGUAUUACAGCGGUGCUCUUUACCUUUAUUUUUAGGAGGUCCAGGUAGAUAGCACCAGUCAAGGCCAAGUGUGCCAGGGAAUCCACUCAGAGUAUGCCAAGCCUUUGUGCCCGACAGCUGAUGGCCUGGAUUUCCUGUGCUUGUGAGCCCUCUGGAAGUAUUGCUGGACUCUGAGAUGAAGCCUUGAAAUUUUGUAUUUCACGAUGGCAUGCAGGUAUCCUUUGGCACUGGCUGAGGAGUUGCGGUGAGUCGCCGAGGUAGGGAGGGGGAGGCAAGGUCCUCUUAGGUUUCAGUAAUGCCGCGUCACUUUGUCUCUUCUUAACCCAGGCAGACCCUGCGAUGAUGGUGGCAGCCUCCUAGCCUGGCCAAAGUGCGUGGCCCGAGCAUUCUUAGGAGAAUGCUGAGCACGGGACCACAGCCCGGUGACCAUAGGACAUUCUCAGGAGGCGAGGCAGCCUCCAUUGGCACACGAUGUGGAUUCUCAUCCCCAGAUGCCUGAGAGAUAAGUUGAGGGCUAAGGCCCACAGAGGGGAUUAAAGUAGGGUGCUGGGAGGGCCUUUUGGAUCAGCUUUGGGGGCAGGGAUGUGCAAGAAGUGUCCCCUUAGGCCAGCUAUAGGGAAAGUGUCUGUUUUGGUCACAGUGCUGACGUGCUCAGGGCAGAGCAGUGAUGGGGUGUGUCCUGUCACUUGUCUCUGGUGCACUCUGUGAUCUUUGGGUCUCUCAGUCCUUUCUUCUCCUCAAAAGCACUCUCUCCUUGUCCUGUGUCACGGGUGUCUGCAAGUAUUUUUCCUGGAGCUGAUCUGCCCUGCUGCAUAGCCUGUAAUAGCGCAAGUCCUGGGGACUUGAAAUUUG